GACUUCUCCGGCCAAAUCCGGCCGAUCCGGCCACCGAUUGGACCGGGUCUUGUGUCCAAAAUCAUCUACUCGGCGAGAGCUUUCCAUAGACACCAAGAACGCCGAAAUCCAUCGAGCGGAUUGUCCGAUUUUUGCUCGGGAAGAUUUUAGCCCAUUUCGACUUUUGGGCUAGAUUUCUCGAAAACCGUGAAUCCCACAAGGAAACCGAGGCCACCAGCACGCUCCAUUCGUCGAGAGCUUCGCAACGACAUAAAUUUCGAAUUUUUUCGACACCGUUUUUCGGUAUCCUCGAUUCGCGGAAAUUCGACAGUUGACCGGGUCUGCAAAUUUCGGGCCAGACAGACCCGUUACCGGAAAAGUCUCCGAAUUGGACCGAGGCUUUGGCUAGCCCCCCAUUGUCAGACGUCCCGAGCGCGUUCCCGAAGUCGGAAUCGGCAAAGGUGAGCCGGGACAGCCUUCUUCCUCCGCCCAGCCGCCACAGUAAUUUGUCGUCAAGUUUGUGAGUAAAAUAUUAAUUUUAAUUGUAAUUUCGAUAUUAUUAUAUGUUCAGCAUGCCCAUGCAUCACUUAUAUGCAUAUAUUUAUGUAGUUAAACUCUAGGCAUGAAUUAUGUUGCAUUCAUAACUGUUAAUGUGCCAUGAGUGUUGUUGUGGUAAUUUGGAGCAGUGUGCGUGCGUCGGCGUGCGUGUGAUGUGGUGUGGACUAUG